AUUGAACGCUGGCGGCAUGCCUUACACAUGCAAGUCGAACGGCAGCACGGGAGCAAUCCUGGUGGCGAGUGGCGAACGGGUGAGUAAUAUAUCGGAACGUGCCCAGUCGUGGGGAUAACGUAGCGAAAGCUACGCUAAUACCGCAUACGAUCUAUGGAUGAAAGCGGGGGAUCGCAAGACCUCGCGCGAUUGGAGCGGCCGAUAUCAGAUUAGGUAGUUGGUGAGGUAAAGGCUCACCAAGCCGACGAUCUGUAGCUGGUCUGAGAGGACGACCAGCCACACUGGGACUGAGACACGGCCCAGACUCCUACGGGAGGCAGCAGUGGGGGAAUUUUUGGACAAUGGCGCAAGCCUGAUCCAGCAAUGCCGCGUGCAGGAUGAAGGCCUU
rnacentral:rRNA from 1 species